UCAAGUGCGCGGCAUAGCCCCUUGGCCGAGACCCGGUUUCUUGCGUUGCGUACCUGCACGAUGGAUGGCAUUUGUUUUUGUCCCAGCGACCCUCGUUCGUCUAGUGCUCCCCCGGUUUGGCGGGGCACGAGGCGAAACUUGUAGCUAGCUUGGUCCGUUGCCCACGUCGCGUCCGGCUGUCGUGGUGAGCGGGGCACUGCUUAGGCUCUCUCGGAUAUGGAAAGCAUCGAGGAGGGCAUUGAGGACACCUCAUCCUUGCCCGAACAUGCAUUAGAUGGACCCCAACACCGGUGCACGACUGUCGCUCCCGCCUCGGUUCGGCCGUGCGGGCAGGACGUCGUUGAGGAAUGCUACCUGGUUGAUCCUGCCAGUA
rnacentral:misc_RNA from 2 species